rnacentral:rRNA from 1 species
UACGAAGGGGGCUAGCGUUGCUCGGAAUCACUGGGCGUAAAGCGCACGUAGGCGGAUUCCUAAGUCGGUGGUGAAAUCCUGGAGCUCAACUCCAGAACUGCCUCCGAUACUGAGAGUCUUCGAGUCCGGGAGAGGUGAGUGGAACUGCGAGUGUAGAGGUGAAAUUCGUAGAUAUUAGGAAGAACACCAGUGGCGAAGGCGGCUCACUGGUCCGGUACUGACGCUGAGGUGCGAAAGCGUGGGGAGCAAACAGG